rnacentral:rRNA from 1 species
CUAACAAGGAUUCCCUUAGUAACGGCGAGUGAAGUGGGAAAAGCUCAAAUUUUAAAUCUGUCUGGGUAACCAGACCGAGUUGUAAUUUGAAGAAACGUAUUCAACGUCAUGGAAUGAUCAGAAUCCUUUGGAAAGAGGUAUCAUGGAGGGUUAUAAUCCCGUUCAUGGUCAAACCAGAAGCGUUACCUAUGCGUUUUCUAAGAGUCGAGUUGUUUGGGAUUGCUGCUCAAAAUGGGUGGUAAAUUUCACCUAAGGCUAAAUAUUUGCGAGAGACCGAUAGCGAACAAGUACCGUGAGGGAAAGAUGAAAAGAACUUUGAAAAGAGAGUCAAAAGUACGUGAAAUUGUUAAAAGGGAAACGAUUGAAGUCAGUCAUGCUUGCAAGUAAUCAGCUUAAGGUAUUCUUUAAGUGUACUUUCUUGUCUAGCAAGUUAGCGUCGAUUUUAAUUAUCUUAAAAUAACUAGGGGAAUGUAACUCCCUCGGGAGCGUUAUAGCCCUUGGUAAGAUGAGAUGAUUGAGAUCGAGGAUUGCAGCGAAUGCUCAUUAGUGCUAGCAACUUAAUCUCUGAAUGGCCCCUGGUUAUAAACAGCUUGCUUAUUAUGAUUAGGUUAGCUUAUCAAAAGGUUUCGUUUGCUUA